AGUGCCCUCGGGAUUUACUGCGCGUACCCUGCUCUCCGACUGUGUGGAGGUGUUAGUGGCCUGUGGAGCGCGGUGGAUGUGGGCAGCAAGCUCCGAGGAGCCCGGUUGACCUGUCGCUCAAGUAAAGCCGGCAGAAAUCCCCGAGGAGCUUUGGAAACCUGCGGCUUAGGUGGAGCCGGCGUCGCCUGGCCCGCGAGCGUGAGCGAGUUUCCUAGUAGCUGGCGCCUUGGGGACUGAAUCAACGACUCCUCCGCUUUUUAAGUUUUUUUAGGGUGUGGAUAAAGCCCGGACUCAGCCUUAGCUUCCAAAGCUGCAGAAACAGGACACCUUUAACAGCUGACUCUUGUAUCAUCAUCCUUACCCCAUUGUCAUCUGUUUUUCAAAAUGUAAUUUGAACCAGCUGUAUCAAAUCUACCUGUGGCAGUUGUUCAAAAUGCAGGUCCCUGAGCCCUGCCCCGGCAUGCCUCCUAAAGCCCAAGAUUUUAACCCCCACUAGAGUUUGAAAUUAAACCCUAUACUACACAGCAGAGAAGAACCUGGGAAGAGGCUCAGUGCUCUAGGAAAUAUAAUUCCUGAGCCUUUGGUAGUAUCUUGACCUGGACCAGCAAAACUGACAGGGAGCUAGCACCGCAGAAGUACUGUGCUUGUUGAUACCGAAGACUUUGACAGUGGAGACAUAGCUAUCCUGAUGACUCGGGCACAUUGAGUCAUAGCCCAGCAGAUUUACUGCAUUAUUAAGUAUGAGCUAAUAUGCUAUGUGAAGCAAAGAAGCCCUGUAUUUACUGCCACGCCGAGUUGAUACUCUCCUCCCUGGUAAUUACUCAAAUCAGCAGCUAGGUUUUUGGUAGGUUAUUGCUCAGACUCUUUGACCCUUCCCAAAGUCAUAAAUAUGAAUAGUACCUGGGUUUCUCGACUUGAAUCCCAGUUUAUAUGCCAGCUGAGAAAAGAAUAAAUGUUUUAGAAGCAUGCGGUGAUCCAAAUUGAAGGAAGUUUGGACUAUGGUUUUGUAAGACUAGUUUUUCCUUCAGACACUAUUAGAUUGCUUUUGUAGAAGAAGCCAACAGAGGAGAGAUCCAUGUGUAUGGACAGAGCUAGAGUGAUUGGUGCUUCAACAGCAGUCUCUUCAACUUUGCUUGAGUGUGGAGGCCACACAGAUCACAAACUCCAUUGGCUGCAAGAUACCUUUGCUCAAAAGGAGCUAACCACUGCACUGUUCCCCAGCAUAUCAAAGCUAAGCUGAAUUGUAUGCUACUAACGAUUUGGAAAGAUGAAAGAGAUUAACAGCACAAAGAUGCCAAUAAUUUUAAAUAUGAUCUUUAAAAAAAACUGCAUUCUUAAAAUGAGAGAGAUACACUCAAGGAAGAAGCAACUGCUCCAUACAUUAGCAUGUCCAAAAAUGAUAAUUAGACCUGCUGAGCUAUCUUUGCAACCAGAGAGGAACCAGCUUGAAAACAAAGCCGACACAAUGAGACGACAGCAGAAAAUGAAAAGAACUUGAGUCUUCAAUGAUGAUAAUGAAGUGAUGGACUAAACCUGGAGGGAGAAUACCUACUAUGGGCUUCCUGUCAUCUAAGGCUGCAUGGGAGGCUAUGGAUCAAAUCGGAGCUGCAGCUAAUGGCCUGGCCACAGCCAUAGCUGUAGCCACAGCCACACCAAUGCGGAAUCUGAGCCACAUCUGUGACCUACACCACAGCUCACGGCAACACUGAAUACUUAACCCACUGAGGGGGGCCAAGGAUUAAACCCGCAUCCUCAUGGAUACUAGUCAGGUUUGUUACCAGUGAGACACAACAGGAACUCCGCAUUCUUUUUUCUUUUUUCCUUUCUGUGGCAGUGAUUUCCACCACUCUAUCUUCCAGCUUACUUAUUUGUUCUUCUGCCUCAGUUAUUCUAAUAUCAAUUCUGUUUAGAGUAUUUUUCAUAUCAGUCAUUGUAUUAUUUAUCUUUAUUCUUUAAAUCUUCUAGCUCUUUGUUAAGAAUUUCUUGUAACUUCUCAAUAUGUGUCUUUUUCUGAGAUCUUGGAUCAUCCUUACUAUCAUUACUCUGAAUUCUUUUUCAGUUAUAUUGCCUAUCUCUUCUUCAUUUAGUUGUUUUUGUGUGUUCAUUCAUCUGAAACAUAUUUUUCUGUUUUCUCAUUUAGUCUAACUUUCUGGGCUUGUGGUCUCCUUUCUACAUGUUGCAGGAUUGUAGUUCCUCUUGUUUCUGGUGUCUGCCCCUCUGCUGGGUAAGUUUGGUCCAGGGGCUUGUGCAGGCUUUCUGGUGGGAGGGACUGGCAUUUGUCCACUGGUGGGUGGAGCUGAGUCUUGUUCUUCUGGUUGUCAGGGCCAUAUUAAGGGGUGUGUUUAGAGGUGGCUGUGAGCUCAGGAUGACUUUAGACAGCCUAUCUGGUUUUUAUAUUUUUUGGUAUGAGGGCUGGGGAUGGGGGGUUGUUUGAUUUUUAGUGGAUUUUUUUUUUUUUUUUUUUUUUUGGCUGUGCCCAUGGCAUGCAGAAGUUUCUGGGCCAGGAAUUGAACCCAAGCCACAGCAGUGACAAUGCUGGAUCCUUAACCCACUGUUCUAGGAAAUUCCACGAGGGCUAUUUUUAAUAUGGAUUGUUGCCACCUCUUUCCUCAAUGUAUGCUGGCUGUUAUCCCCUUGAUAGAAGGUAUGAAUGAUGUUUUGGUGACCAGAGCCUAUACUGGGUGUUUAUUGGAGCUGUGUUUUUGUUCUGCCCUUUAAGGGGUAGUGUCUACUCUCUAGUCGUUGGAGUAGGAGCCCCCAGAUCUGUUUCUCAACUGUAUUUCUGAUCUGUGGCCUGAGGUAGGUGGGAUUUGAAUGCUCCUACUAGGAGAGGAGCCCCUGAGUAUUCCUUCAUUGGAGCUUUUUACCUGUGAGUGUUCUCUUGUAUGUCAUCUUUCACCUGUUGUGUGGGUUCACAAAGAGACUAUUGUUGGCACUGCUCUUGGCCCCAUCUUAACUGGGCGUAUGCUGGCAAUUGGCCCUGGUGUCUCUCAGGUGUUUUCACCAGUCCACCAGUACAUAUCCACUGAGGUCAGGUCCAAGGACUGCAGUAGUCAUGCACCUGGGCCCACUGUGGGAACUGUGGAGGCAGCUCAGACUCUGGCCUGGUCCAAUUCCUGUAUGUACAUUCCCACAAAGCCCAAAGCUGCUAAAGCCAGACCUAUCUUAGCUGCAGGAACAUUUGUUGUCCAUUCAGAUGUUCCACAGGUGCUAAAUUUACAAAGCCGGCAGCAGAGGUGAAAAUCUGUGGUUCUCACAGUCAGGAGGAGAGAUUUCAGCCUUUUCCUUAGCCAUAGGGCCCCUGUGGUUUCAGCCCCACCUCUGCAUGUGGGCAACCCACUGGAGACUGCCCCUGAGUCAGUAGGAGCACAGGAGCUUAUCCAGGAAGGAGUUGGGUGGGGCAGUGAUUCAGGCACACAGCGCACUCUGAGAGAGGAGGGUGGGGUGGCAUCUAGGUGCAUGAACCUGCCCAGAUGGAAGGCAGGCCAGGUAGUAAUCAGAUAUGAGGGCUCACUCCAGCAGAAGCUGGGUGGGACAGUGUUCUGGGCAAGCAGACCAGCCCAGGCAGGAGCCUCUCUCAGGGCCUGCAGAGGCAGGGGUCUGCAUGGAGAAAGAGGCUACAGUGGUGGCCCUGCCCGUCACGCACCACUUAACUAUGACACUUAGCCUCAGCCACUUGAGCCUCUUACCCAAAAACAUUCCCAGUUGCAGUGCUUUGCCCUCCAGCCAACUGCAGUUCUCUGCCCUGUCUGUUCUCUAAACCUUAUGUUCUAGCACCCAGCCUCCACCCUUAUCAGCGGUCACAUGUCUCAGGCUGGGGCAAAUAGGGUGAUGGCACAGAACAUCUGUGUAGUUCUCAUUCUGUCCUGCCAGCCACAUACCAGCUUCUCUGUUCUCCUCUGGGCCACCAAAGCUCCUUUUCUGUUCCAGCCAACCUCCCUGCUGGUGAGGGGAUUUCCCGGGGUGUGAGAACUUCUCUUCCCCUUCAGCUUCCUUCUGGGGGGAACAGGUCCCAAUCUGCUUCCACUUCUCUCUCUCUCUCUUUUUUUUUUCCUUCCCUUCAUCAGUUACAUGGAGAUCCCUC
rnacentral:lncRNA from 1 species